rnacentral:rRNA from 1 species
GGGGGAUAUUGCACAAUGGGGGAAACCCUGAUGCAGCGACGCCGCGUGGAGGAAGAAGGUUUUCGGAUUGUAAACUCCUGUCGUUAGGGACGAUAAUGACGGUACCUAACAAGAAAGCACCGGCUAACUACGUGCCAGCAGCCGCGGUAAAACGUAGGGUGCAAGCGUUGUCCGGAAUUACUGGGUGUAAAGGGAGCGCAGGCGGGAAGACAAGUUGGAAGUGAAAACCAUGGGCUCAACCCAUGAAUUGCUUUCAAAACUGUUUUUCUUGAGUAGUGCAGAGGUAGAUGGAAUUCCCGGUGUAGCGGUGGAAUGCGUAGAUAUCGGGAGGAACACCAGUGGCGAAGGCGGUCUACUGGGCACCAACUGACGCUGAGGCUCGAAAGCAUGGGUAGCAAACAGGAUUAGAUACCCUGGUAGUCCAUGCCGUAAACGAUGAUUACUAGGUGUUGGGGGAUUGACCCCCUCAGUGCCGCAGUUAACACAAUAAGUAAUCCACCUGGGGAGUACGACCGCAAGGUUGAAACUCAAAGGAAUUGACGGGGGCCCGCACAAGCAGUGGAGUAUGUGGUUUAAUUCGAAGCAACGCGAAGAACCUUACCAGGUCUUGACAUCCUGCGACGAUGCUGGAAACAGUAUUUUCCUUCGGGACGCAGAGACAGGUGGUGCAUGGUUGUCGUCAGCUCGUGUCGUGAGAUGUUGGGUUAAGUCCCGCAACGAGCGCAACCCUUAUUGCCAGUUACUACGCAAGAGGACUCUGGCGAGACUGCCGUUGACAAAACGGAGGAAGGUGGGGAUGACGUCAAAUCAUCAUGCCCUUUAUGACCUGGGCUACACACGUACUACAAUGGCGUUUAACAAAGAGAAGCAAGACCGCGAGGUGGAGCAAAACUCAAAAACAACGUCUCAGUUCAGAUUGCAGGCUGCAACUCGCCUGCAUGAAGUCGGAAUUGCUAGUAAUCGCGGAUCAGAAUGCCGCGGUGAAUACGUUCCCG